GCCCGGAAAGGGUGGAGCACAACGUCGAAAGCAGCCGUUGGGAGCCCAGGAGGCGGGGCGCCUGUGGGAGCCGUGGAGGGAACUUUCCCAGUCCCCGAGGCGGAUCCGGUGUUGCAUCCUUGGAGCGAGCUGAGAGCUCGAGUACAGAACCUGCUAAGGCCAUCAAACCUAUUGAUCGGAAGUCAGUCCAUCAGAUUUGCUCUGGGCCGGUGGUACCGAGUCUAAGCACUGCGGUGAAGGAGUUAGUAGAAAACAGUCUGGAUGCUGGUGCCACUAAUAUUGAUCUAAAGCUUAAGGACUAUGGAGUGGAUCUCAUUGAAGUUUCAGGCAAUGGAUGUGGGGUAGAAGAAGAAAACUUCGAAGGCUUAACUCUGAAACAUCACACAUCUAAGAUUCAAGAGUUUGCCGACCUACCUCAGGUUGAAACUUUUGGCUUUCGGGGGGAAGCUCUGAGCUCACUUUGUGCACUGAGUGAUGUCACCAUUUCUACCUGCCAUGUAUCGGCGAAGGUUGGGACUCGACUGGUGUUUGAUCACUAUGGGAAAAUCAUCCAGAAAACCCCCUACCCCCACCCCAGAGGGAUGACAGUCAGUGUGAAGCAGUUAUUUUCUACGCUACCUGUGCACCAUAAAGAAUUUCAAAGGAAUAUUAAGAAGAAACGUGCCUGCUUCCCCUUCGCCUUCUGCCGUGAUUGUCAGUUUCCUGAGGCCUCCCCAGCCAUGCUUCCUGUACAGCCUGCAGAACUGUGAGUCAAUUAAACCUGUUUUCUUCAUAAAUUC
rnacentral:lncRNA from 1 species